UUCCGCUGCGAAUAUUGAUUUAAAACUUGUUGUCUAUUGUAUUCUAUUAUAUUUUUCCCUGUUGAAGACUAACGAUAAUUUGUUGUAUAUUAUCUUAGUCAUAAUAUUCUUUACUGGGCUAGUCGAGCUCACCCUUUUCCUUUUUGUUCCAUUUUUCUUCUCAGGAGGCGAGAAUAUAGCGAGUACGAGUCGGGGUAUGGAAUGAAGGUUCUAGGGAGAGUUGUUUAGUAGUCCUCACCAUUGUUGUAAAAUAAUGUAUCAAUA
rnacentral:lncRNA from 1 species